GAGCACAGUUAGAUGGAGGACUGGGGCAAUAUUUAAUGGCUUUAUUUUUGCAACAUUUCAGUUUCCAAGCUUGAUGGAGUAUUAGGACGAGCCAAUUCUACCUCCUCUAAAAAAGAAGUAACCGAAGAAUAGAUGGGAUGACAAAGAUGUGGAUGAAAAUGAUGUGAAGGAUUCCUGGGAGGAU